GCCCCUAUAACUUAAAGGUUAAAGUGUUGCUUUUUCGUAGCAAAAAUAGGAGUUCAAUUCUCCUUAGGGGUA
rnacentral:tRNA from 1 species